UUGAGUUAAAAGUUGAUAGUCCAAAUUGGUAUUGUGAGGGUGAAAGAAACCCUAGCGCAAUCGGCGGUUUCACUUUCCUCCUCCGUAUUACCGGUUGCCGCCGUUAAAUGGUUUUGCAAGUUAUCUAUUGUCCGGAAUAUUUUGCUGAUGCAUACCAGAACUCUGCUUCAGAUUCCUCUCGGUUAUCACAGAUCAUGUUAGCGUGAGUUAGCUUUAUUAGAGGUGAAGGAAAUACGGUUCGAUGUUAAGGAGAAGAUUUUGCAAAUGGUUUGUGUCAGCUAUCUUUUAUCCUCAUCACCAUCUCACCUUGGGAAAGUUGGGCAACAGUCCACAUCUCAUUAUUAAAUGGAGAUUUAGAUUCAUCUGCAUGUUAAUACUUAGUGCUAGAUAACCUAACUCACAUUUGCACCUUUAGCCUCCGUUUCAAUGGUAGGAAAAGAAUUCUCUCAAGUAGCCACUUGCUUAAAGAAUCCUUUCAUAUCUUUUGUACUUUCGUUGGUGUAAACAUAAAUGAACAUCACAACUUUCAUUUCAAA